AUGAUUUGAUUAAGGGGUGAUAUAGAAAAGAAUUAGUGAUAGGCAAAUAGAAAAAUCUCCCAGGAGAAAUUGACAUUCAUCGAACAAAAUAAUCACCAGGAAAGAAGAGACUUCAGAGAGCGGGAGGAAGCAAAAUGGCACAGGUCCCUAAUUUAGACAACGCACCUAUCAAUCUCACUACCACACGAGAUCAAUCUCAAAAGGAGCUGAUAAAUACAUUGAAAAAUAUUCGGGGAAAGAAAUGUUUGGUGAUUGAUCCGAAACUUAGUGGAUCGCUCUCACUCAUUGUCCAAAGUUCACAACUGAAAGAACAUGGGGCUGAAUUGCGGCAUCUCACAGCCGAGCCAGUCGAGACUGACUGCACCAAAAUGGUGUUCCUUGUUCGAGCUCAGCUCAACUUGAUGAAAUUCAUUUGUUCACAAAUUCACAAUGAUACGUCAAAAGGGCUUCAAAGAGAGUAUUUUCUUUACUUUGUUCCUCGACGUGCAGUUGCAUGCGAGAAGAUACUCGAGGACGAAAAAGUCCACGAGAUGUUGACUGUUGGGGAGUAUCCGUUGUAUUUGAUUCCACUGGACGAGGAUGUAUUAUCGUUUGAACUCGACCUUGCUUAUAAAGAAUGCGCGGUCAAUGGAGAUACUACCUCUCUGUGGCAUAUAGCAAAAUCCAUUCACAAGCUUGAGUUUUCUUUUGGGACGAUACCAAAUGUGAGGGCCAAAGGAAAAGCAUCUACACGCGUUGCUGACAUUUUAAACCGAAUGCAAGCUGAAGAACCUGUUACUUCAGAUAUGGGAAUUCCAGAAAUAAAUACUCUUAUCCUACUCGAUAGAGAGGUGGACAUGGUUACUCCCAUGUGUUCUCAGUUAACAUACGAAGGACUACUAGAUGAGUUUCUUGGCGUCAACAAUGGUGCUGUGGAGCUAGAUUCUUCCAUUAUGGGCGUUCAACAAGAAGGGAAAAAGUUAAAGGUUCCCCUCAAUUCUAGUGACAAAUUGUUCAAAGAAAUAAGGGAUAUGAAUUUUGAAGUUGUUGUCCAGGUUCUUCGUCAAAAAGCAACAUCCAUGAAGCAGGACUACACAGAGAUUUCAACCACUACUCAGUCUGUCUCUGAAUUGAAGGACUUUGUAAAAAAGCUUAACUCGUUGCCAGAAAUGACUAGGCACAUAAAUCUGGCGCAGCAUUUGUCUACAUUUACAUCAAAACCAUCAUUUCUUGGACGCCUUGAUAUGGAACAAACUCUCGUGGAGGCCCAGAGCUAUGACAUAUGCUUUGAGUACAUCGAAGAAAUGAUUCAUAAGCAGGAACCUCUUAUUAAUGUCUUACGUCUUCUGGUCUUGUUUUCAAUAACAAAUUCGGGGUUACCAAAAAAGAAUUUUGACUAUUUGAGGAGAGAGCUUCUUCACAGCUAUGGUUUUGAGCAUAUUUCUACAUUGAAUAACUUGGAAAAAGCUGGAUUGUUCAGAAAGCAGGAUUCAAAGAGCAAUUGGCUGACAGUCAAACGUGCUUUGCAACUCGUAGUUGAGGACACAGACACCACUAACCCAAAUGAUAUUUCCUAUGUGUUCUCUGGAUACGCACCUCUCAGCAUACGUCUUGUUCAGCAUGCUAUACGAUCUGGAUGGUCUUUAACUGAUUUGAAUCAAAUGCUGUAGGCGCCCAAUUGAAGAAAUUUUGAAGCUGCUGCCUGGGCCUCACUCAGAAACCAAGAAAGGUAGAUUUGCUAGCAGUCCAUCAUUUGACACACUAUCAGGAUCUCUGAACAAUUUAGAGAGAGUUGCAGAUGGGAGGCGAUCUAUUGUCCUUGUAGUUUUCAUUGGUGGGGUAACGUUUGCAGAGAUCUCUGCACUUCGUUUCCUCAGUUCCCAGGAAGGAAUGGCGUAUGACAUUAUUGUAGGAACAACAAAAAUUGUCAACGGCCAUACCUUGAUUGAAACCUUCAUAGAGUAAUUAGAUAAACCCGUAAAGACAGUUUGCUUGAUGUUCUAUGUUGAAAAUUUGAACUACCUUCCACUGUUUGAGAGGAUUCUGUGUACAAACUAUUUAUCCAAACGAGAGAUUGAGCAUUGGGUUGCUUAGUGUUGUUUUUAAAUUCCUGAUAGAGAUGAGGUUCACAUAAUUGGCAACCUUAGACAAUGUCCUUAAA